AACGAACGCUGGCGGCAGGCUUAACACAUGCAAGUCGAACGAGAUCUUCGGAUCUAGUGGCAGACGGGUGAGGAACACGUGGGAACAUCCCUUUCAGUUCGGAAUAACGUUGGGAAACUAACGCUAAUACCGGAUACGUCCUUCGGGAGAAAGAUUUAUCGCUGAAAGAUUGGCCCGCGUCUGAUUAGCUAGUUGGUGAGGUAACGGCUCACCAAGGCUACGAUCAGUAGCUGAUCUGAGAGGAUGAUCAGCCACAUUGGGACUGAGACACGGCCCAAACUCCUACGGGAGGCAGCAGUGGGGAAUAUUGGACAAUAGGCGCAAGCCUGAUCCAGCCAUGCCGCGUGAGUGAUGACGGCCUUCGGGUUGUAAAGCUCUUUUGUCCGGGAAGAUAAUGACUGUACCGGAAGAAUAAGCCCCGGCAAACUUCGUGCCAGCAGCCGCGGUAAUAC
rnacentral:rRNA from 1 species